UCCGAGUUGUAAUUUGUAGAGGAUGUUUUGGGUACCGCCCCGGUUUAAAUUUCUUGGAACAGAAUGUCAAAGAGGGUGAGAAUCCCGUCUUGGACCGGCGGUAGGGCCUGUGUAAAACUCCUUCGACGAGUCGAGUUGUUUGGGAAUGCAGCUCAAAAUGGGUGGUAAAUUUCAUCUAAAGCUAAAUAUUGGCCAGAGACCGAUAGCGCACAAGUAGAGUGAUCGAAAGAUGAAAAGAACUUUGAAAAGAGAGUUAAACAGUAUGUGAAAUUGUUGAAAGGGAAGCGCUUGCAACCAGACUUGAGCGCGACGGUUCCCCUAGCCUUUUGGCUAGGCUACUCCGUCGUGUCCAGGCCAACAUCGGUUCUGAGGGUCGGUCAAAGGCCCCGGGAAUGUACCUACCCACGGGUAGACUUAUAGACCGGGGUGUCAUGCGGCCUCUCGGGACCGAGGAACGCGCUUCGGCUCGGAUGUUGGCGUAAUGGUUGUCAGCGACCCGUCUUGAAACACGGACCAAGGAGUCUAACAUCUAUGCGAGUGUUUGGGUGUCAAACCCGGAACGCGGAAUGAAAGUGAACGGAGGUAGGAAGCUUCGGCUGCACUAUCGACCGAUCCUGAAGUUUACGGAUGGAUUUGAGUAAGAGCAUAGCUGUUGGGACCCGAAAGAUGGUGAACUAUGCCUGAAUAGGGUGAAGCCAGAGGAAACUCUGGUGGAGGCUCGCAGCGGUUCUGACGUGCAAAUCGAUCGUCAAAUUUGGGUAUAGGG
rnacentral:rRNA from 1 species